rnacentral:rRNA from 1 species
GAUCAUGGCUCAGGAUGAACGCUGGCGGCGUGCUUAACACAUGCAAGUCGAACGAAGCACUUUAUUUGAUUUUCUUCGGAAAUGAAGAUUUGUGACUGAGUGGCGGACGGGUGAGUAACGCGUGGAUAACCUGCCUCAUACAGGGGGAUAACAGCCGGAAACGGCUGCUAAUACCGCAUAAGCGCACGGUACCGCAUGGUACAGUGUGAAAAACUCCGGUGGUAUGGGAUGGAUCCGCGUCUGAUUAGCCAGUUGGCGGGGUAACGGCCCACCAAAGCGACGAUCAGUAGCCGACCUGAGAGGGUGACCGGCCACAUUGGGACUGAGACACGGCCCAAACUCCUACGGGAGGCAGCAGUGGGGAAUAUUGCACAAUGGGGGAAACCCUGAUGCAGCGACGCCGCGUGAGUGAAGAAGUAUUUCGGUAUGUAAAGCUCUAUCAGCAGGGAAGAAGAAAUGACGGUACCUGACUAAGAAGCCCCGGCUAACUACGUG